rnacentral:rRNA from 2 species
GUGAGGAAUAUUGGACAAUGGGUGAGAGCCUGAUCCAGCCAUCCCGCGUGAAGGACGACGGCCCUAUGGGUUGUAAACUUCUUUUGUAUAGGGAUAAACCUACCCUCGUGAGGGUAGCUGAAGGUACUAUACGAAUAAGCACCGGCUAACUCCGUGCCAGCAGCCGCGGUAAUACGGAGGGUGCAAGCGUUAUCCGGAUUUAUUGGGUUUAAAGGGUCCGUAGGCGGAUCUGUAAGUCAGUGGUGAAAUCUCACAGCUUAACUGUGAAACUGCCAUUGAUACUGCAGGUCUUGAGUGUUGUUGAAGUAGCUGGAAUAAGUAGUGUAGCGGUGAAAUGCAUAGAUAUUACUUAGAACACCAAUUGCGAAGGCAGGUUACUAAGCAACAACUGACGCUGAUGGACGAAAGCGUGGGGAGCGAACAGG